rnacentral:lncRNA from 1 species
UGGAUUGAUUCUCUUGCAUAGAAAGUGAGUUGUAAACAGAGAUAAAGAGAGUUGUUGGUUGUGUUGAAGAACCAAGUAUCCUAGUUGUGUUUAACAACCAGAAGAUAGAACUAAGAGUGUUAGAGUCUUAGUGAAUAAGAUUCAGUUUCUCUUGUGUAGAGUUACAUGAACUAAUUCUCUUGGGAAGAGAUUGUAUUAGUAUAUAUUUGUUGUCAUUCCUAUACAAAAUAAGGAUUGCGUGAAAAAGGCAGGAGAUCUAAAUUAUUUAGGUUUUAUGUCCUUUGAUUUACAGAUUUGAUUGGAAUAGAUUUGCGUAAGAAAAUUAGUCAUAAGUUGGUUAGGAUAUUUCUUCCUUUAUUAUCUGAUUAUGAUUUUAAUAUUUAUCUCUUGCGUCCUUUAUGGAAUGAUUCUAUUCUAAUAUUCCUAAUUGGAUGUCAAUUAGGUUUGUGAAGUUAACUGCAAGAAGAUGUCUUGCACAAGGCUAGGGUUUGGACGUGAAAGAGAGUAGACGUAUUUCUUCUCUUAUAAAAGAAGAGGCAGUAGCUUGUUUUGAGGACAAACCUUUUUGCACGCACAACUAUUGAGAGAGAGUUCUUCCAUUGCAAAACUAUUUUGAGAGGUCGGAGUUCACUUGCUCCUUGUUAAAGUGAAUUUCUGUUUCAUACGUUCAUCAUUCUCUCGCGGCCAGUAGAGAGUGAUUGAGAAGUCUCAAGGACGCGGCUAGUUCCUUGAAUAUCGAAGAGAAGAUUGAAGAACUAGAUUGUUGAGAAUUUGUAAUAGUUGUUGGUUACAAUCGUGGUUUGUAAACCCUAUUCAAAUUCAUCUAGUGAAGUUCAAUUUUCUGGGUUUGUGCCCCGCUGUGUUUUUUCCUCUUAUUUGAGGUUUUUACACAACGUCAAAAUUUGUUAUGUUCUUAUUUCAACUUUCUGCUAGUUUAUCGAGGAUUGAAACUGUUUCAAUCCUUCUGCACAUUCCAGUAUCUUUAGCUUAAGAGUUAUAAACAAAUUGAGAUUGAUCUCACAAUAGUUGUGUUGAAAAACUACAUUGUUGUAAACUCUAAUAUAAGUUUAAUCGAGGAUUGAAACCAUUGUUUCAAUCCUUCUGCACGUUCCAGUAUCUUUAGAUUAAGAGUUAUAAGCAAAUUGAGAUUGAUCUCAUAAUAGUUGUGUUGAAAAACUACAUUGUUGUAAACUCUAAUAUAAGUUUAAAAUAAUAAUCUUACUUGAUGCUUUUUCUCUUAAAGAGGUUUUGCACUAAGUUUUUGAAAUUCAUUGU